UACAGAGGAGCCAAGCGUUGUCCGGAUUGACUGGGCGUAAAGCGCACGCAGGCGGACGCGCGCGUGGGGUGUGAAAUCUGGCCGCUUAACGGCCAGGCGCCAUCCCAUACGGCGGGUCUGGAGCCUUGCAGAGGUCGGUGGAAUUGCCGGUGUAGUGGUGAAAUGCGUAGAUAUCUGGAGGAAUACCGGUGGCGAAGGCGGCAUCCUGGACCGACAUUGACGCUGAUGAGCGAAAGCUAGGGGAGCGAAGUGGGA
rnacentral:rRNA from 1 species